rnacentral:rRNA from 1 species
UACAGAGGUCUCAAGCGUUGUUCGGAUUUAUUGGGCGUAAAGCGUGCGUAGGCGGCGGGGUAAGUGAGGUGUGAAAUCCCGGAGCUUAACUCCGGAACUGCACUUUAUACUGCCUUGCGUCGAGGGCUGGAGAGGAGACUGGAAUUUACGGUGUAGCAGUGAAAUGCGUAGAGAUCGUAAGGAAGACCAGUGGCGAAAGGCGAGU